UAAAAACACUCAAUAAUUCAAUAAUACAAGUAGCAUUCCCUUUUUCAAUGUUUUCUAACCUCUUCCAAAUACUUUACACUUUCUACACCUACCCAAAACUUCCUUUCAACAAUUGCUUCAUCCUUACAGUUGAAGAUGAAGUUUAUUUAUUUGGCGGAAAUUUCUAUGGUGCAAUCUGAUUGGUCUCUUGUUAGAGUUAUAUUUUUCUUUUCAACGACCGUGAUUUCCUUGAUUAAAUAUGUGCUUAGUUGCAGUAUCAACAAUAUUGUCAAUCCGAAAGCAAGAAGCAAGAAAAAAGUAUAGCUGAAAUCUGCUGACAAUAGUUGUUAGUUGACAAUGCUGAUGUUAGCUCUGGUGCAAGAUUCACACUUAUAGCUCAACCGUCACAAUUAUAUUUAUUAAUAGUAGAAAAUUAGAACAAAUACAACAAGAGACUUGUAUACAACAAGAGGAUUGUAAAGUAGAGGAAGAUUAUAGUUUUACAAUAGGAGGAAACAUAAUAUAUUUGUUGAUAAGAACACAAAUGAGGAAUAUAUAUAUAUAUUAGAGGAAGAUUAUAUUUAUACUAAGAGGAAUAUAAUAUUUAGUUAGAUAGGAACACAAAUGACAUAUACAACAAUUUUAUAAAUGUACGGAUUGAUUAUUACAAAUACUUUGUCUCAAUAGUAUAUUUUUAGUAUCACCAAGUGAUGUUUUAGUAGUAAGGUUAUUGCCAAUAUCUCAAUAGUUUCAAAGAAUAUACAUGUUCUAAUUGUUCAAGUU